rnacentral:rRNA from 1 species
AUUCCAGCUCCAGUAGCGUAUAUUAAAGUUGUUGCAGUUAAAAAGCUCGUAGUUGGAUUUCUGGUUUCACAGAACUGGCCUACUUCCUCAAGGUCGUGUGCGCCGUGUUUUGUGUACCAUCCUUCUAGAAAUUGUGUUCCAUCCCUUCACUGGGGUAGAUCCGAGAUCUAGAUCUUUUACUUUGAAGAAAUUAGAGUGUUCAAAGCAGGCUCGCGCUGUGAAUACAUUAGCAUGGAAUAAUAAUUUAGGACUUGGUAUCCUAUUUUGUUGGUUUUCAGGAUCUAAGUAAUGAUUGAUAGGGAUAGUUGGGGGUGCUAGUAUUUUGCGGCCAGAGGUGAAAUUCUGUGAUUCGCGAAAGACUAACUUAUGCGAAAGCAUUCACCAAGGAUGUCUUCAUUA